UUGUGACCUCAAAUCAGGUGGGACUACCCGCUGAACUUA
rnacentral:rRNA from 2 species